UACAUUUAUAUUAUGUACAGUCUGCAUUGAACUUACUGAAUAAAAGCACAGAUGCACUCACGCUUUUAAUAUAAAGAUGAUUUUCUGCCCCCUGCUGGAAUGGUGAGUUUAGAAUGUAGUUA